GUUGGGACCGCCUCUGCUAAAGAGGAGGAAGGAAUGGGCAACGGUAGGUCAGCAUGCCCCGAAUUAUCCGGGCUACACGCGGGCUACAAUGGUCAGGACAAUGGGCAUCAACACCGAAAGGUGAAGGCAAUCUCUUAAACCUGUCCUUAGUUCGGAUUGUGGGCUGCAACUCGCCCACAUGAAGCUGGAAUCUGUAGUAAUCGCGUCUCAAAAAUGGCGCGGUGAAUAUGUCCCUGCUCCUU
rnacentral:rRNA from 1 species